GCCUGGGUGGUUCAGUGGGUUGAGCGUCUGACUUCGGCUCAGGUCAUGAUCUCACAGUUGGUGGGUUCGAGCCCCAUGUUGGGCU
rnacentral:tRNA from 1 species